rnacentral:rRNA from 1 species
CGGGGGGAGCAAGCGUUGUUCGGAUUCAUUGGGCGUAAAGAGCUCGUAGGUGGCUUUGUAAGUCGGAGGUGAAAUCCCACGGCUCAACCGUGGACACGCCUUCGAUACUGUGAAGCUUGAGGCUGGGAGAGGGAAUCGGAAUUCCUGGUGUAGCGGAGAAAUGCGUAGAUAUCAGGAGGAACACCGGUGGCGAAGGCGGAUUCCUGGACCAGUUCUGACACUGAGGAGCGAAAGCUAGGGGAGCAAACAGGAUUAGAUACCCUGGUAGUCCUAGCUGUAAACGAUGGGCACUAGGUGUGGGGGAUCGACCCCUUCCGUGCCGCAGUUAACGCAUUAAGUGCCCCGCCGUGGGGAGUACGACCGCAAGGUUG